GGGAGAAAGUUUCUGGUCAAAGUUAAUGCAAACAUAGGAAACUCUGCUGUUGCCAGCUCUAUCGAAGAGGAAGUUUAUAAGGUCCAAUGGGCAACUAUGUGGGGUGCUGACACUGUUAUGGACCUCUCUACGGGUCGCCAUAUUCAUGAGACGCGUGAGUGGAUCUUACGUAACUCUGCUGUACCAGUAGGGACUGUACCCAUCUAUCAAGCACUAGAAAAGGUAGAUGGAAUAGCAGAAAAUCUUAACUGGGAAGUGUUCAGACAAACUCUGAUUGAACAAGCUGAGCAGGGUGUAGAUUACUUCACCAUCCAUGCUGGGGUUCUUCUACGGUACAUCCCUCUAACAGCAAAGCGUAUGACAGGAAUUGUCUCGCGAGGUGGAUCCAUUCAUGCAAAGUGGUGCUUAGCUUAUCAUAAAGAGAAUUUUGCUUAUGAGCACUGGGAUGACAUACUUGACAUCUGCAACCAAUAUGAUGUGGCCCUGUCAAUAGGUGAUGGGCUUAGACCUGGUUCCAUUUAUGAUGCCAAUGAU
rnacentral:lncRNA from 1 species